AUUGAACGCUGGCGGCAUGCCUAACACAUGCAAGUCGAACGGCAGCACAGUGCGUAGCAAUACGCAUGGGUGGCGAGUGGCGGACGGGUGAGGAAUGCAUCGGAAUCUACCCAGUAGCGGGGGAUAACCUGGGGAAACUCAGGCUAAUACCGCAUACGACCUAAGGGUGAAAGCGGGGGACCGUAAGGCCUCGCACUAUUGGAUGAGCCGAUGCCGGAUUAGCUAGUUGGUGGGGUAACGGCCCACCAAGGCGACGAUCCGUAGCUGGUCUGAGAGGACGAUCAGCCACACCGGAACUGAGACACGGUCCGGACUCCUACGGGAGGCAGCAGUGGGGAAUAUUGGACAAUGGGGGAAACCCUGAUCCAGCAAUGCCGCGUGUGUGAAGAAGGCCUGCGGGUUGUAAAGCACUUUCGGAGGGGACAAAAAGCGUCGUUCUAACAAAGCGGCGUCUUGAUUUAACCCUCAUAAGAAGCACCGGCUAACUCUGUGC
rnacentral:rRNA from 1 species